rnacentral:rRNA from 1 species
UACGUAGGGUGCAAGCGUUAAUCGGAAUUACUGGGCGUAAAGCGUGCGCAGGCGGUUUUGUAAGUUUGUCGUGAAAGCCCCGGGCUCAACCUGGGAAUUGCGAUGAAGACUGCAAGGCUUGAAUCUGGCAGAGGGGGGUAGAAUUCCACGUGUAGCAGUGAAAUGCGUAGAGAUGAUGGAGGAACACCGAUGGCGAAGGCAGCCCCCUGGGUCAAGAUUGCGCUCAUGCACGAAAGCGUGGGGAGCAAACAGG